UGCUCGAGCUACGUACCAAGCAAGCCAGUUUUUUCUUUCCACCGCACCGCACGCCACACACUCGUUAAGCCCGUGCCAACACGAGAAGUCGCCACUAAUAAAUUACUGUUUUUUACUGCACUCGAACAGUCUCCGCCGCGCAGCCAACUAAUUUAUACGUAAAAAUAAACAUCAAUCAGCAAUAAACGCCGCUGUUAGCGCCCGAGCCCCGAACACUGCGCAGUAGCCCCGCCCGUAGCGAGCACCAUAGACCAGACAAAAUGUUCGCCGUGAUGCAAAUCGACGAGGAUCACACUAGGGACUUUAGGCGUAAGCUGCGCCCCAAGUGCGAGUUCGUCUGCAAGUAUUGCCAACGUCGGUUCACCAAGUCGUACAACCUGAUGAUACACGAGCGCACCCACAAGAGCCCCGAGCUCUCCUUCAGUUGUGAGGUUUGCGGGAAGAGUUUCAAAAGGCAGGACAAUUUGCGUCAGCACAGAUGUAGCCAAUGCUUGUGGCGGUGAGGUGAUGGAGUAGCACGAUCAUCAACAGCGGUCUCUCUUACACAAUAGAGUAAGAGAAAUACACUAUAAUUCCAACAAGGAGACCAUGAAUAUGAGAUGGUGAUUGACAUUACUAUCACUCGAAGAACUGCGUGACGUAGGUACUAAACCACCUGGGAAUUUUAACAGUAUUCUUGCUUCUAUUGUUGUACACCAGAAUGGGAUAUUGCAAUCAUUAAAAAAUAUAUAUUUAUAAUUUAAAACACCUACCGUCCUUUAAACAUCUAAGAGAGAACAAAAAGUUAAAAAUGAUAUUCUGUUGUGGUUUAUUUUUAAAUCUACAAUAAAAAAUUUAAAUGGUUUUCCAUUCAAAGGUUUACUGGACCGUAGGAAAAAGAAAUUGUAAAUUCCUUUAGAUAGAUACAAUUGAUGAAGCCGUCAUAAUUCCACUAUUAUAGAUAAAUUAGAUAUAUCUUUUUUAUUUAUCUUUUUGCGUAAUUAUAACAGCUAAUAACAUUACAAACUCUGUAUUUGCUUGAAAACAUUCUGGUAUUUUGUAAAUAGUAUUUAUUAGAAUAAGUGAUGGUAGCAUGUAAACGGAUUAAGUGCUAGCUAUUUUUUAUGUAAAAUAAUAUUUAUAUUAUAUUUAAAAUAUUGUUACUAAUAUAAUCUUCUACGUAGAACGUAACUUUGGUAUUGAAAUGAUAAAUGAAGAAUGAGGAAAUGAGAAAAGUGAAAGUGAUGGAGUAUUUUCCAAAGCUUUUCUUAAGUCGGGAUUGCCUUAGAAUAAUAACACAUACCAUACCUAUUUCCAAAGUUCUUUCAAAAGUGAGGCAAUUAAACUAUCAAUAAGAGUGGUAUCUUUUACUGAUUUAUUACACUUUUUUCACACGUUAUCUAAAUUUUAGAUCUGUGUCAUAUAUGUAUGUGGCAGAAGUACUGCAGCGUUCAAGUUUUUCAUCAGUUUGCGUGUAACUUGAUUUUUCUCUGCCAAGUCAUAUGUUGUUCUAGGGGUAUUCCAAAACAGAAUCGUCUUUAUUCUUUAUAUAGUAUAUCAAGCUUCUAUAUAACAUUCCCUAUCGCUUUAUGUACAUUGUAAGGGUUGUUCCUAAUGCUUAGAAAUAUUGAGUAUAUUUUGUUUUAAUUUUAAUAUUGACACGGCUUGGCCUUAUUAUAUUUUAAGUAAGAUUUUGCUAUCGAGUAAAAUGUUGAUGAAUAUUUUACUAACUCGUUAAAUUAAGUUACAAGGUCGAUCAUAAGUUUUCUUGUCGAAUUAUAUAACAUUAUAUACAGUAAUAGAUGUAAGUCGAAAUACUUUAUUUAAUAUUUUUCUGUUUAAAGACUUCAAAUUAAAAAAAAAAUGUUUUUUUUUAUAAAUGCACUGGUAAGUAACCGUCUCAAAAAUCAACAGACAAAAAAUAUUUUUUUGGCUUUGAUUGUACUCGCAUUUAAACAUUUUACAGUUGUAAACCCUGCGACGUAGAGUUAAGACUCAAGCUGCGCAUCGUCUUUGGAGUAUAGUUAGUGUCUUUUAGUAAAAUAAUUUAACUUGCAUAUUAUUCAUUGAAAUAUUUACAUAUUUUUGUCAAAGUUUUAAAACAGAAAAAUAAUAAGAAUACACUAUAGUAGGUAUGUUAUCCGGAACUACCUUUAUUUCGAUAUCAGAGCGAAAUAAUAAAGGUAAAGUUUUAUAAUAUAUGCGUCUAACAAUUGUCUUUACAAAAUAUAUAAAUAUAAAGUUUAUAUAUGAACUGUCAUGAGACUCGAUCGCUUGUACGUAUUAAAAUAAGCUUAGGUUAUGUACUUGUGACAGAAGACAAGAAUCAAGUUUAAUCAAGAAAUUUACUCUGGAAACAUCUAAGGAAGUUUUAAAACUGCGCCGCUACUAUAGGCUCGGAUUCUUUCCUUACAUGAUUUCCAUAAUCCUUAGAAGCUAUAAUAAAACAUUCAACAUUGGUAUUGCAAAGCCUUACCAAUUUAUAUAAGUACUUUCAAUACCGAAUCCUCGCUAUCCCUUACUGUAAAAAAAGUUUAUGACAUUUGGUCUGUCUGUCAAGCAAGUAUAUAAGCUAAGAACAAUCGUAUGCUUUAAAAACAUAUAAUUAAUAAUUCUGCUGACAAGUUGCGGUGGUUUAAAGACCUGGCUCACGAUCAAGCAUUUUGUGCGACCUGCGUAGGUCAAAGGACACAAUUAGACUUUGGUAUAGCACUUUAUACUAUAAUGUUAUAAACUUUAUGUGGAAGCUCUACAAGCCCCACAUUCAACGCGAUAGACGGGUGGAUGGAUUGUGAUUAGCCUUGAGGUUAUAGCAGCGCAUUUUUUAUGUAUUCUAUAUCGUAUGAGGUGCCUGGUGGGAGUCUGUUAUUUACGGCACGACGUCAUGUAAUAAUGUAAGUGUGAGCUUAGUAAACUAACAUAAUAGGUUAUCGUACUUUUCCAUAAGACUCUUUCAUAGUUUUCCAUCAGCUUAUAUAAGAAUUUGUCAUAGAAGGAAACAAAUUGACCACAGCAUGCUUGAUUGUGAAUAGGGGCCUUAAAAAAUAUUCCAUGUGCCAAUAUGUGACAGGCAUAUCUGUCGUGUAGCCAUAUUUUAUCUAGAUUUUAGUUGUAUAAAAAUAAAAUAAUAUUUCAUUAAUGUUAUGAUUAUAUAUGUUAUCCAUUACAUUGUGUAGAUCGAUGAUAAUAAAUAAUGUAUAAUGAC